rnacentral:rRNA from 1 species
GCGUGGGUAAUCUACCUCCGAAUUGGGAAUAACAUUGCGAAAGCGAUGCUAAUACCGGAUAACAUCUCAAUAACUCCGGUCUUUGAGAUCAAAGGUGGCCUCUCCAUGGAAGCUAUUGUUUGGAGAUGAGCCCGCGUACCAUUAGCUUGUUGGUAGGGUAACGGCCUACCAAGGCUACGAUGGUUAGCUGGUCUGAGAGGAUGAUCAGCCACACUGGAACUGACACACGGUCCAGACUCCUACGGGAGGCAGCAGUGAGGAAUUUUGCGCAAUGGGGGAAACCCUGACGCAGCAACGCCG